rnacentral:rRNA from 1 species
GAUGAACGCUAGCUACAGGCUUAACACAUGCAAGUCGAGGGGCAGCAUGAACUUAGCUUGCUAAGUUUGAUGGCGACCGGCGCACGGGUGAGUAACACGUAUCCAACCUGCCGAUGACUCGGGGAUAGCCUUUCGAAAGAAAGAUUAAUACCCGAUGGCAUAGUUCUUCCGCAUGGUAGAACUAUUAAAGAAUUUCGGUCAUCGAUGGGGAUGCGUUCCAUUAGGUUGUUGGCGGGGUAACGGCCCACCAAGCCUUCGAUGGAUAGGGGUUCUGAGAGGAAGGUCCCCCACAUUGGAACUGAGACACGGUCCAAACUCCUACGGGAGGCAGCAGUGAGGAAUAUUGGUCAAAUGGACGAGAGUCUGAACCAGCCAAGUAGCGUGAAGGAUGACUGCCCUAUGGGUUGUAAACUUCUUUAUACGGAAUAAAGUGAGGCAUGUGUGCCG